GAUGAACGCUAGCGACAGGCCUAACACAUGCAAGUCGAGGGGCAUCGGGGGAGUAGCAAUACUUCCGCCGGCGACCGGCGCACGGGUGAGUAACACGUAUGAAACCUACCUAUCACCGGGGGAUAAUCGGGAGAAAUUUCGUCUAAUACCCCAUACACUCUGUUCAGGGCAUCCUGAACAGAGGAAAGCUACGGUGGUGACAGAUGGUCAUGCGGGACAUUAGCUAGUUGGUGGAGUAACGGCCCACCAAGGCUACGAUGUCUAGGGGUUCUGAGAGGAAGGUCCCCCACACUGGUACUGAGACACGGACCAGACUCCUACGGGAGGCAGCAGUGAGGAAUAUUGGUCAAUGGGCGAGAGCCUGAACCAGCCAAGUCGCGUGAGGGAUGACAGUUCUAUGGAUUGUAAACCUCUUUUGCCGGGGAGCAACGGGUGGCACGAGUGCCGCAGUGAGAGUACCCGGAGAAAAAGCAUCGGCUAACUCCGUGCCAGCAGCCGCGGUAAUACGGAGGAUGCGAGCGUUAUCCGGAUUUAUUGGGUUUAAAGGGUGCGUAGGCUGUGUGUUAAGUCAGCGGUCAAAUACCGGAGCUCAACUUCGGUCCGCCGUUGAAACUGGCAUGCUUGGGUAUGAUUGAGGUAAGCGGAAUGCGAGGUGUAGCGGUGAAAUGCAUAGAUAUCACGCAGAACUCCGAUUGCGAAGGCAGCUUACCAAACCAUCACCGACGCUGAAGCACGAAAGUGUGGGUAUCGAACAGGAUUAGAUACCCUGGUAGUCCACACAGUAAACGAUGAAUACUAAUUGUUCGGUCAGAAUGAUGACUGAGUGAUACAGCGAAAGCGUUAAGUAUUCCACCUGGGGAGUACGCCGGCAACGGUGAAACUCAAAGGAAUUGACGGGGGCCCGCACAAGCGGAGGAACAUGUGGUUUAAUUCGAUGAUACGCGAGGAACCUUACCCAGGCUCAAACGAUGCAGGAAUCAGGUAGAAAUGCCUGAGCUAGCAAUAGCCUGCAUCGAGGUGCUGCAUGGUUGUCGUCAGCUCGUGCCGUGAGGUGUCGGCUUAAGUGCCAUAACGAGCGCAACCCCCAUCUUCAGUUGCUAACAAGUUAAGUUGAGGACUCUGGAGAGACUGCCGGCGCAAGCUGCGAGGAAGGCGGGGAUGACGUCAAAUCAGCACGGCCCUUACGUCUGGGGCUACACACGUGUUACAAUGGCGGGGCACAAAGGGAAGCCAUGUGGCGACACAGCGCCGACCCCUAAAACCCGUCUCAGUUCGGAUUGGAGUCUGCAACCCGACUCCAUGAAGCUGGAUUCGCUAGUAAUCGCGCAUCAGCCACGGCGCGGUGAAUACGUUCCCGGGCCU
rnacentral:rRNA from 1 species